rnacentral:rRNA from 1 species
GAUGGACGCUGGCGGCGUGCCUAAUACAUGCAAGUCGAGCGAACAGACGAGGAGCUUGCUCCUCUGACGUUAGCGGCGGACGGGUGAGUAACACGUGGAUAACCUACCUAUAAGACUGGGAUAACUUCGGGAAACCGGAGCUAAUACCGGAUAAUAUAUUGAACCGCAUGGUUCAAUAGUGAAAGACGGUUUUGCUGUCACUUAUAGAUGGAUCCGCGCCGCAUUAGCUAGUUGGUAAGGUAACAGCUUACCAAGGCAACGAUGCGUAGCCGACCUGAGAGGGUGAUCGGCCACACUGGAACUGAGACACGGUCCAGACUCCUACGGGAGGCAGCAGUAGGGAAUCUUCCGCAAUGGGCGAAAGCCUGACGGAGCAACGCCGCGUGAGUGAUGAAGGUCUUCGGAUCGUAAAACUCUGUUAUUAGGGAAGAACAAAUGUGUAAGUAACUAUGCACGUCUUGACGGUACCUAAUCAGAAAGCCACGGCUAACUACGUG